UACGAAGGGGGCUAGCGUUGCUCGGAAUCACUGGGCGUAAAGGGUGCGUAGGCGGGUCUUUAAGUCAGAGGUGAAAUCCUGGAGCUCAACUCCAGAACUGCCUUUGAUACUGAGGAUCUUGAGUUCGGGAGAGGUGAGUGGAACUGCGAGUGUAGAGGUGAAAUUCGUAGAUAUUCGGAAGAACACCAGUGGCGAAGGCGACACACUGGCCCAUUACUGACGCUGAGGCUCGAAAGCGUGGGGAGCAAACAGG
rnacentral:rRNA from 1 species